rnacentral:lncRNA from 1 species
ACGCAGGCUGCUUUGCCUAUUGAUAGAGGCUUACAUCCUAGUGCUAGCAUAUUUCAUCCACUCAUUGGCAACAUUCAAGGCACAUAAGCGCAAAGAAAAUAUCCUUCCCAGCAUAUCUCAUGUCCCGCGAGCUUCAAGGAAAAAUUUCUGCCAGCAGUAUUCAAGGUGUCUAAAAUAAAAACUGCCUUAACAACACUUGCACUAUCUUUCUAGCACAUAUAUAAGAAUCUACUCUUUUCUUUUGAAACAAAUCCAACAACCCAACCCCCGGUUUGAGCUCAUGGUUUAUGAUCGAUAACGUUCCAUACAUCUUGUUUUGCAUACGACGACUAGGCUUACAUCCUAAAGAUAGUAUAUCUCGUCCUUCCACUAGCAGUAUCCGAGGUGCCUAAGUGCAGUAUCCGAGGUGCCUAAGUGCAAAGGAAAUUUCCUCCUAGUAUAUAUCAUCUUUUUGCCCGCAAUAUUCGAGGCGCCUAAGAGAAAAAUCUGCCUCAACAAAACCUCCACUAUGUUUUAGCACAUAUCUAACAAUCUACAUUUUCCUUUCAUAACAAAUCCAACAACACAACCCUUGAUUUUACUCCCACAAUUUUAU